AUGCUUUUAACUAUUGUGUUUCUGGGAGUUUCUGCCGUUGGCCUUUUCCUCCGAAAAAUUACCUUCUGUCGCUGUGCUCAAGCCUUGGAGAGGGAGACGGCAGAGAGCAAGGGUGCCUACAAGCGGCACAGAUGGAGAAUGAGGAAAAAGAAAAGAGUGCCAGGGAGACACAUGAGUGAGGAGCCAGCCCAGAAACGCCUGUGCCUGAAGAACGCUUUCUGGCGAGAUUCAGGACCUCAUUCGGUUCCCAUGAGGAACAGCAGCUGCGUCCCAAGUGAAAUCACAGAGAAGACAAAGUGACAAUUCCCAACCAAGGCCUUCCAUGAUGCGCAGCUCUGCUGGUUCUCGUGUGGCUUCUGUACCUUCAACAGCUGCCGAGUCCUGAGAUGACACGUGAUGGGAACUGUACACUAGAAAUUAAACACGUUUCUAAAACUUGCCUUUUUCAGAAUUUCCACCUCAUUUUUCCCUGGACAAAAGUAUUAUUUCUGUCAUAAUGCACUUAAAAUUUGUAUUACCUGGGAGUUAAAAGAAAUCUUCUGGCCAUGCCUAACUGACUUGUGUAUGUGGGAUUGCUCUGACAGAAAACCCUCUCCCAGUUUCCCUGCUUCUCUUCAAGAAUCCACAUUUCCCCAGAGCCAUCUGUGCUCAUGGGGGGCACCCCCAUAGUGAAGAAGACCCUUUGUCGAGAAGGGAAUCAGAGGGAAAAUGAGAGGGUCCUGCAGGCAGAGCUGGAAUAGACUUCCACUCUGCCUCCUGCAAGCUCUGUGACCCUGGGCACGUGUUCUUCUUCCUCGGGGAGGCUCUGUUUACUUAGAUUUGGAGCAGGGUGGUCACGCUGACUUGCAGAGUUCUGAGAAUCAGAGACAGAACAUAAAAGGCCUGGAGAACAUUCUCCUAAAAGAAGCUGUAACACAUGUGUGGACAAUGGGCUCUUCGUGCCUCUCUUACUCGCUAUUUAUCUGAUGCCAAGAACAUGCUCUGGUGAUGGCGGUGAGGGAGGAAUGAGGAUGGACAGAGACACUCCUGUGUCUGAAACAUGCUUCUUCCUUACUGCGCUAUGACUCUGUCUUCCCUGGGGCAGGCCCCCAGCCUGCCUACAUUUGCAGAGAGAUGCAGUGGCAUGCGGAGAAAACAGUUUGCCCCAACGACUCUUCUUCACUUCCCAGCUGUCAGUGGUACUUAGUGGAAGGGUGACUUCAUGACACUGAUGCUGCUGUUUUGAAACCUGGAGGAUGGAAAGGUGCAAAAAACUAUCAGCAGCAACAUAAGUUGCAGCCUGUGUUGUUGGUGGUGGUUCUGUCUGUCAAAUUAAUACAUGUGAAAACACUUCCU
rnacentral:lncRNA from 1 species